UUUAAAUCAAAGACGUCAGCAUUUCCUGAGAAGUACUGGAAAGCGCUUGAAUUUCUCACUGAGCCACACUGUUUGAGCGGAGUAACACGAGGCGAAUCUAAGAUGCCACGUACUAAAGCUUCAAGGAGGUCUGAAGCAGCAAAGAGGAGACUAGCCUUGCAGGCUAGUCAGACGGAUAAAGGUGUGCCGCCUUUUAAAAUAAAGGCACUGUCAGAGGACGAUUGUGACUGUCUAACUGCUCAGAAUGACACCCAAAUAAACUCUCCUAACAAACUCUCGCAACCCAUAUUCUCGCAACCCAAAGUCUCGCCAAGCAAAGUCUCACAAACACGGUUCCCAUUGCAGGUUGAAACACGUUCUGAAAAUGUGUCUGUAAACUUGUGUGCAGACUUGCCUCAGAUGUCCAGUAUAAGAGGUUCCUUUCAUCAAGGUGAUGCACGAUUUGAAACUGUUAGUAGAAACAGUAAACAGUGUGACUGCCAUAAUGAUGUGCCAAGUUAAGAAUGUGCUCAGCUGGUCAAAAGAAGAUCUGGAUGCUAUCUUGGUGCAUGGUGAUGCAUUGUACAACUGUUUGAGAGCUCAAGGCAAAGUUCAUGAUCGUUCAGGUUAUUUGUACAUCAGUGAUUUGCCAACAAUGCAUACGCUGUGUGAUUAUGAAUUCAGUAUGAGAUAUGAGGAUAAUUCUUUUGUUGGAGUUUUUGGUGAUGACGGUCAGUUUGGACAUGCUCCAGAUGUUAUCAUGUCAUGUGAUGAAGCAGUAAAGAGAGUAUUUGCAAAUUA